GUGCUCACUUUGGCAGCACAUAUAUUAAAAUUGAAACAAUACAAAGAUUGGCAUGGUCCUUGCACAAGGAAGACACGCAAAUUCGUGAAGUGUUCCAUAUUUUU
ensembl:snRNA U6 U6 spliceosomal RNA